rnacentral:tRNA from 1 species
UCCCUGCUGGCUCAGUUGUAAAGAAUCUGCCUGCAAUGCAUGAGAUCCAGGUUGGAUCCCUGGGUUGGGAA